UGGUCUUUAUCAACUAGAAAUUUGGUGAAGGUCCAUUUGAUCCUUGACCCAAAUGUUCCUCCGAGUUUACUAGCCUUCAGGAAUUUGUAGACUGGUGUUGUUUCUGGACCAUUGACUCAAACCUAACAGAUGAGAGAGUUGAGCAUUAAUAUUCUUAUCCAUGUAAACUUCUAAUUAGAAUGAACUUUUAUCAUCAUUACAAUAAAUG